GGGAAUUCAAGAAGAGUUCCUGAUGCACCCUUCCAAGAAAAAGAACUCGAGGUGUGAGCUGGGAUGAAAGGAGGGAAACGCUGUGAGAGAUGUGGCUGCCUUUCUGCACAGGGCAAGCACCUGUGUGCGAACGUAUGUAUGUGUGCGCGUUCUACAUACACACUGCUUCAUACUGCCGUAAAUGGGUUUGAGGUUUGCAAAAUGGUCCCAUAAAUCAUUAAUUAAUGAUAAUACAAAUAUGAAUAAUGCAAGAGGCAGAAGGGCAAGAGUCACCACUCCAUCUUCAACACCAUCUCGGAUGCUUGGAUAAGCAAUGUGCCCACAGUAGUCUCCCCUGCCAAGAGCACCAUUACAUACAGAAAUGCUGAAGAAUCACAAAAAGGUUGCAGUAUGAUCCAUGGGAGAUGGAAGGCCUUCAUCAAUAGCAGGCUAAUGCAGAUGACUUUAACCCUUUAAGUCCUUCUGUCUGUUCAGACUCCCCAGUUCCUGUUUCCUCAGAAGUGGUCCAUGGAAUUAUAAGAUACUGCUGCAUCCUGCUGUUAGAAACUGAACUGCAACUGAUACAAUGUUGAGAGAGGAGGUGAGCUGGAGGGGGUCAUUCCUGCUGUACAAGGAUCAAAUGCCAUAAACAGCCCAGAGUGUGACUGUGCUUCGCCUGUGCCCUUUUAAUUGCCCCCGUUAAAGCACACAUUAAACACGCAAUCCCUGUGACCAAAGGCCCAGAAAUCCUAUUAAAGUUGGGAAGUGACAAUGAGAAGCAGCCCUGGCAUCUACGCACCAGUGCAUGCACAAACAGACCUCCGCUGCUCCGAGCCCGCAUCGGCAAGGACUUCAUUUUGAAAGCUACUUCCAGUGCUCUGAUAAGGCAGGCACUGCAAUGGCAAGAUACUGCACUAUGCAGCAUCCAAGAAACAAUAUCAACUCAGUAACAUAAAUAAAACGAAGACUGGCUUUGGUUCUUCACUUAUAUUUCCAUCUCUGUGCCACCAACUCCUCAGCAGCUCCCUCCAGUUCUUCCCAAAGAACAAGAGCUCACAUGCAUCAAAGAGUGGAAAAGAUGUUCCCCACGAGCGCUCUCCCUGCCGACAGAUGGAUGGCUGCACAGCUCAGACUUCUUUGUGUGUGACCUGUUUUGAAGAAGUUUUGAACCACUUAGCUUUCACAAAGAGCUGAAUCCAGCAGCAUUGAGCGAAGAAGUGUGACUCUGGUGUCUGACAAAGGUAUGAGUCAAGUAUGUGAUAUUACAGAAGGAGGACACAAGAGGGAUCAGCAAUUGACAUAUAUCGAAGAAUUAACGUAAGAAAAGGAUGAGCUGAAAACAAUGAAUUUGGUGUCAUUUCGGAAUUUCCACAAAGACCAAGAUGCCAAUUAGCACCAGAGGAGUCACACACUCAGUCUCAGUAGUUUUCUCCUUAUCGCAGGAAGGAAGCGCCUAUUUGAAGAUGUAAGACAAUGUCAGACAAUAGACAGGCAAUUCCAUAACUGGAAACUCACCAAGUUCAGAGGGAGGACAAAAGUGCACCAUAAUGUUAAUUAUAUCCACGCGCAGGAUAAACAACACAGUUGCCAAUCUUACUCAUACACAUAUAGAAG
ensembl:lncRNA